AUGAGACUCUUUCCUAUCCACAACUACUUGUUGGAGUUAGUUAUGACAGUUCUUUUUUAUGGCUAUAACAAGAGUGCACCAUUCAUGGGUUGAUGUCUAAAAUUGAGCAUAUUCCUAAAGAAAUGGACAAUUUAUAUGGUCGUUGCUUCUUCUACAACUCAUGUUUUCACAAAUUUACAGAUAAAACUAUGUCCAUGUGUGUACAAAAGUUUAUUAAUAUAAAAGUUGUAUGAGUAAACAUAUUCAUAUUAUUCAUACAACUAGUUGUUAAAUGUUUCUUUAUCAUUUAUACCUAAACUAAUUUUUAAAAAGUAGAGACUAAACAAAGGACAAUAUAAUAUUAUGUUAAACCUAAAAUCUAGCUUUCAAAAUUGUUCUUACUGUUAAAUAAAUGUCAUUUAGUGGUGAUGGUAGACUAUUAAAAGGUGACACAUGUUCACUCACUACUUAAUCCUUGAAAAUAGAGAUUCUUAAUUACAAAAUAAAAAAAGAGACUUAAUAACAUUAUUUAAU